UUAAAAUGAGAGUUUGAUCCUGGCUCAGGAUGAACGCUGGCGGCGUGCCUAAUACAUGCAAGUCGAACGCUUUGUCUUUAAUUGAUCUGACGAGCUUGCUCUGAUGUGAUUUUAUCUGACAAAGAGUGGCGAACGGGUGAGUAACACGUGGGUAACCUACCUCUUAGCAGGGGAUAACAUUUGGAAACAAGUGCUAAUACCGUAUAAUA
rnacentral:rRNA from 1 species